rnacentral:tRNA from 1 species
GCGGGUAUAGUUCAAUGGUAGAACGUCAGCCUUCCAAGCUGAACACGGGGGUUCGAUUCCCCCUACCCGCUCCA